CUGGAUGGCAGUUCCCUGCACUGAAAGGACACUCAUCUGCCUUGACCUUCCUCCCACCCAGGUUGGAGACAAAGGCUUGUGCCAACUUGGAUGAGGCCUAACCUUCAAUACUGUGCCACCAUGGAAAGCUUCCCAAGGCCAAGGUGCUGGCUAUAUGAGGAACCCAUGGACUGGGCUCAACGCUGUGUCCAGAGGACCCACUGCACCCACAUGAGAUGUGACAGUAGCUCAGGAGGAAUGGACAGAAGCCAACACUCAAAGCUGAGGGUCUCCUCAGCACCAGCACUACUACAAUAACUUUAACCCAAGUUCUUUCAUUUUUGCCUUCAUGACAGUAUCCAUCCCCCUUGCAUGGAUGAAGAAACGAAGACCAAAGGGAGCUGUACACGGACUUGGCCAAGGUGGUCAAGAAGCUGGUCAGAAGCUGAGCUGAACCUUGACUCAGGCCACUGGAUGCCAGAGUAGGGAAACCAAGAGUCAGGCAGCAAUGAUGGCAGGAACAAAAGCUCAAUAAGGCCCCAGGUGACUAGGUGAUCAGCAGCAUCAACUGUUGAACUCAGAGAUUCCAGGUCACCACCAAAGAAAGCUUCACUCAGAAUGGCUAUUCCAUCACUUGCAACUAUCUCCCCAAAACCUAGUAAUCUGGAGUUCCCCUUCAAACUCUGAUAAAACAUGGGGCCACACACUUCCGCAACUCAGGAAGGCUCUCAUGUCUGCAACCUUGUCCAGCAUCCCUGCCAGCCCCACUCCAAUGCUUACCAGCCUUAUGAUACCAUGUGACCUUCCUGAGUUUCAGCUUCAUUGUCUACCAAAAGGACUCAUAAGAGAACUUCCCCCAUAAGGCUAUUGUUAGGAGUGUAACACUGCAUGCAGCACCUCAGCAUGAUACCUCCUACAUGACACUUACAAAAUGCUAUUUCUAUUUUCAAAGUCCUUUAUGCUCCCACCACCAUCAUACAGGUCCCAGGGAGAGGUAGAGAGAGGAAAGACUAGCUGGUGAUUUCACGUCCUUCUAGAUCUUUCCCUGACCCUGAAAAGUUCAUUUCUGUGCCCUUGCCUGGCCUGGAUUUCUAGGGGCACUCCCCACUCCACCCGGUCCCACCCCAGACCUGUGCUCUGUCCUCAAAUUGUAGCAUGGUCCUCCCUGAGGAGGUCCAAUUUGGAUGUGAGACCUGAGAUUGACUAAGUUGCAAAUAAAUAAAAGGAACUGAGAUGAAUAAGAUAAUGGGAUUAAAAAAAGACAUGCCUUCAAGGGUACUCUUUCAACAAUGGACUAAAUUGUUUUCUGGAAUCUGUAGGAUAUUGCUAACACCUGGGUACUCAAGUCCAAAUUAAAUCUGUCCUGAAUUUUUUUUUUUUUUUUUUUUUUAAAGCACAGUGGAAUUUCUUUCUUCAUGUCAGAGAAUCAGGCAAGCAGGGUCAGCUUCAGGGGCAUGUGAUGUGCAUAGAGCCUUGCCCUCAGAAGGGCCUGAAGCUUGGUUUAAUACUCUGAUGGCACUGUCUUGAAAUUCUUAAUCAUUUUAUCUUCGAACCUGUGUUUUCAAGUGAAGUCCAACGGGACCAUGAUGCACGCAUGUGAGCAAAGGAGCUACGUGCUCCUUGCCACCUCAUUUGCAUACCACAUUCAUGAUGUCCCAUGAGCUCAGAAUUCUUGUGAAUCCCUGGUGCAUGGGGAGUUCAAUAAGGACUCAAAGUCCGUAAAAGGUAAGCAUGUUCCAUCUAUGACUAAGUAAGCACUGGUGUGAACAGUCCUAAAGGUCACACUUUCUGUUCUAAGCUCAACUUGCUUCAAAUGCAGAAAGAAGGUACUGGAGUUCUAAGAGACAUGAAUGACCAAGGAACCUGACCAUAUCCUUCCUUACUCCUGUUACUUCCCUGUAUUGGCCAAGCACUUAAACUGAAAAUAAUCCAGAAGGAAAGGGAAAGAUAGGGCAACCGAGUUCCUUUUCCUUUCAGUUCUUCCUUACUUACUAGCAAGCCACAGGGAGGGAGUGUUGAGGAUGUGCUAAUAUCAAUAAGUAAAAUCAAAACAAUUGAGUUAACUUUGUGCAGCAUUUCCACUGUUCUAGUUCGUAUAAAAUACACGUAUGUACUAGCUACAAAAUACAAAUUGUGUGUCAGUGAUCCCACAUACAUGGCAAAUGGUCUUAAACUUGCAUCUAAAAUUUGCACUGUACAAUUGAAGGA
rnacentral:lncRNA from 1 species